rnacentral:tRNA from 1 species
GGAUAGUAGCUCAGUGGUAGAGUGCUUGCCUAGCAUGUGUGAGGUACUGGGUUCGAUUCUCAGCACCA